UACGUAGGGUGCAGGCGUUAAUCGGAAUUACUGGGCGUAAAGCGUGCGCAGGCGGUUUCUUAAGUCCGAUGUGAAAGCCCCGGGCUUAACCUGGGAACUGCGUUUGAAACUGGGAGACUUGAGUGUGGCAGAGGGGGGUGGAAUUCCACGUGUAGCAGUGAAAUGCGUAGAUAUGUGGAGGAACACCGAUGGCGAAGGCAGCCCCCUGGGUUAACACUGACGCUCAGGCACGAAAGCGUGGGGAGCAAACAGG
rnacentral:rRNA from 1 species